rfam:Bacillus sp. SA2-6 scf7180000001088, whole genome shotgun sequence.
GGUACCUUUAAAUUCAGUCCUGUGAGGCUGACAAGGACAGCGGAAGUUGGAAAAGGGGAGGGCUCUCCAUAGCCUUCUUCCUUAUCCUGUGCAAAAAGCUGCUUGUCGAAUCCGGCAAGCAGCUUUUUUUA